rfam:Neurospora tetrasperma FGSC 2509 unplaced genomic scaffold NETTE2scaffold_3, whole genome shotgun sequence.
GGGCGUGUGGCUCAGUUGGUAGAGCGUUCGCUUAGCAUACUCCCCUGUAUGCGAAAGGUCCUGGGUUCGAUUCCCAGCUCGUCCA